UGGGGAAUAUUGCACAAUGGGCGAAAGCCUGAUGCAGCGACGCCGCGUGAGGGAUGACGGCCUUCGGGUUGUAAACCUCUUUCAGCAGGGAAGAAGCGAAAGUGACGGUACCUGCAGAAGAAGCGCCGGCUAACUACGUGCCAGCAGCCGCGGUAAUACGUAGGGCGCAAGCGUUGUCCGGAAUUAUUGGGCGUAAAGAGCUCGUAGGCGGUUAGUCGCGUCUGCUGUGAAAACUCGAGGCUCAACCUCGGGCUUGCAGUGGGUACGGGCUGACUAGAGUGCGGUAGGGGUGACUGGAAUUCCUGGUGUAGCGGUGGAAUGCGCAGAUAUCAGGAGGAACACCGAUGGCGAAGGCAGGUCACUGGGCCGCAACUGACGCUGAGGAGCGAAAAGCAUGGGGAGCGAACAGGAUUAGAUACCCUGGUAGUCCAUGCCGUAAACGUUGGGCACUAGGUGUGGGUCCAUUCCACGGAUUCCGUGCCGCAGCAAA
rnacentral:rRNA from 1 species